rnacentral:rRNA from 1 species
CCUACGGGAGGCAGCAGUGGGGAAUAUUGCGCAAUGGGCGAAAGCCUGACGCAGCGACGCCGCGUGCGGGAUGAAGGUCUUCGGAUCGUAAACCUCUGUCAGCAGGGAAGAACGGUCACUGUGCUAAUCAGCAGUGAAUUGACGGUACCUGCAAAGGAAGCACCGGCUAACUCCGUGCCAGCAGCCGCGGUAAUACGGAGGGUGCGAGCGUUAAUCGGAAUUACUGGGCGUAAAGCGGUCGUAGGCGGUAUGUCAAGUCAAGGGUGAAAUCCCCGGGCUCAACGUGGGAACUGCCUUUGAUACUGGCAAACUAGAGUGUGUGAGAGGAUAGUGGAAUUCAAGGUGAAGGGGUGAAAUCCGUAGAUAUAUGGAGGAACAUCAGUGGCGAAGGCGACUAUCUGGGACAUAACUGACGCUGAGGAGCGAAAGCGUGGGUAGCAAACAGGAUUAGAUACCCCAGUAGUC